ACGUGGGCUUUUUGGUAUUCGCUAACUGUCAUAAUGUUGGAUAAAUGUGAUAGUAUGAAAGUAAAUAUGAAAAUGAAGCGCAAAACAAGAAGAAGAAGGAGAAAGGUGGCUUUUGACCAAGACUUGAUUAAGGACUUUGCUGCAAAGAAGUCCUGAGGACAAAAUUUCUAACAGCAAAACCUCGACACCGGAUACAUGCGGUGUGGAUACAAGUGGAUACGCAUGGACACAGAACAGGACCAGAAAUGUUCUUUGCGAUCUCUGGGAUGGAGAUUCAGGAGAUCGGCUAGUUAACUCUGUGGAAGCGCAGUGACAUGAAGGAGAAAGCCAGACUCUUUUAACCAUAUGUAACACCAUACACUUGUGUAACAUAGUCAUAUAUUUGCUUGUAAUCUCUCUUCCUUUUUCUAGUGGCCCUUGUACAGUAGGUGCAAAUGGGAAGGAAUCUGAAGUGAUUUCAUUGAUUGAUUUCAUUGGUUAACACAACGUAAUGCUAUGAUACUACUAUGGUACCAUCAUUUUAAAUAAAAAGUGUAAAAUGGUUUAAAACA